CACAGUGUGCGUGAAAAGAAAGAAAAAAAAAGAGAGAUUUUUGGAGUGGCGAGCGGGGCCGAGGACUGGGGGGUUGAAUUUUCAACCAGCGAGCGUUUCAACACUACUGC